rnacentral:lncRNA from 1 species
GAGCCGAGUCUCUUUGACCAGGCUAGAGCGCCAGCGCUCCUCUGACCCGGCACACUUUGGCAAAGUUGCAGUGGCCUGUUUGCUUAGGCACUGAAGUGGAUGACCCAAGUUAGGAUGACAACUUGCAGAGAACGCGGAUGAGACCUUCAGUUUGUGCCCACACUCAUUUGCAGCAACCCUAACAGAGAUUGCGAAGAUUUUCAAAGUGGGGCACCUCGAUUUCUCGAAUCUGUGGUGUGGCGAAUAUCCGUGUUCCUCCUGCUUAACUAGCCUGUUUGAAGGCACAGUUCAUUCUCGAGCAAUUCGUCACCUCCUGGGGGUCUUCUCUUCCCGUCUACAGGAGAGUGUGACUUCAGAAAGAACUUCGGAUUGGCCAAGGCCAUUAAAGCUGGUGAGCGACUUGGAAGUCAUUUAGAAAGGAACAGACCUUCAACCUCAAGCCUUUGCGGGCACUGGGAAAGUGUCUUCCCAAUCAAUCUGGCUUGCAGGCGGCAGGACCAACUCUGACCUGGCUUAUCUUGUACCCAUCCUAAAUACACCAAACUCAAGAGGUAGCCAGGGCCGCCUCAACACCGAGGUCUGAUUCUAUUUAUUCUAAAGACAGAGUUGGAGAUGGGCUACCAUUGGUGUUGAUUGAGAUGACAAGCAGUCACCUGAGCCCAUACAGCUGGUAAGUAGAACAGUACUGGAGAGAUGGCUCAGCAGUUAAGAGCACUGACUGCUCUUCCAGAGAUCCUGAGUUCAAUUCCCAGCAACCACAUGGUGGCUCACAAACAUCUGUAAUGAGAUCAGGUGCCCUCUUCUGGUGCCUUUGAAGACAAAGACAGUGUAGUGUCAUAUAUAUAAAAUAAAUAAAUCUUUAGAAAUUUGAAAA